CGAAGGGGCUAGCGUUGCUCGGAAUUACUGGGCGUAAAGGGCGCGUAGGCGGAUCGUUAAGUCAGAGGUGAAAUCCCGGAGCUCAACUUCGGAAUUGCCUUUGAUACUGGCGAUCUUGAGUGUGAGAGAGGUAUGUGGAACUCCGAGUGUAGAGGUGAAAUUCGUAGAUAUUCGGAAGAACACCAGUGGCGAAGGCGACAUACUGGCUCAUUACUGACGCUGAGGCGCGAAAGCGUGGGAGCAAACAGGAUU
rnacentral:rRNA from 1 species